rnacentral:lncRNA from 1 species
GCCCCGUUUGUCGGCCUACAAGGCCAACAAACACAACUCAAUAGGGAGGGAUGGACAUGCUUGAAAGUUUGCGUUUCGUUCUUUGCUAGCGGAUGAAGUGAAGUAGAUAAAAACUACACUCAACUUGGAUGACUCUAGUUCAGUGGAGUGCAGCUCCAGACUUGUGGACGUGGACAAGUAUAUACUCCACUUCCGACUCGUUCAGUCGAUUGUCACUACACGAGUCUCCAAAGGGCCAGUCCCGCUGAAUGACACAAAUAUCAAGAGCUCGAGAGAUAUCUACCGUGUCCUUACUUGUUCUCGUUCACUCGAGUGUAUAGGUAUCUUGUUACUACUUUGUGAACUGUACUACGUUAUUGAAAGUCGAUAGAUAUGUAACGUGCCGUUACUUGUAGUACACACUCAUAAUUCAGUGAGUUUGAUAAAGUUAUGCCAUGUCUCAUAAAGUGAUGCCAUGUCUCCCAAGGGCCGAGCCGCCACUCAACACCUAAGUACAUAUGGCAACGUG